GAUCCUGCUAGUGACAAGAAAAUCACUGGCCUGGAGGGGGAUGAGGACAUGAAACUUUUCCUUAUAAAUGUCAACCUGGCCACCACAGAGGAGAGAGAGUGACUCAGGUCCCAAAUCAAAGUACAGCCUGUUUCCAAAUUUGCUGGAAGCCUCAUUCUGACUGUGACCAUCAACUGCUUAAAGAGCAAUUUGAUCAUUUAAUAUGUCAUGUGUUAGGCAGCCCAAGUUUGGAAGUCACGCCAAGUCCUGAAUAUCCCACCCCACAGACACAGUUACUAAUUGCAUGCCCGUGGAGACACGGGAGCAUGCGUUCCAGUCGCGAGUCAAUGAUACUGUGUUUUCAAGCAUUGGAAGCGGUGGGAUUUCUGAAUCCCGCUGGGCUGGUAUCAGGG